AAAUUGAAGAGUUUGAUCAUGGCUCAGAUUGAACGCUGGCGGCAGGCCUAACACAUGCAAGUCGAACGGUAACAGGAAGCAGCUUGCUGCUUCGCUGACGAGUGGCGGACGGGUGAGUAAUUUCUGGGAAACUGCCUGAUGGAGGGGGAUAACUACUGGAAACGGUGGCUAAUACCGCAUAACGUCGCAAGACCAAAGAGGGGGACCUUCGGGCCUCUUGCCAUCAGAUGUGCCCAGAUGGGAUUAGCUAGUUGGUGAGGUAACGGCUCACCAAGGCGACGAUCCCUAGCUGGUCUGAGAGGAUGACCAGCCACACUGGAACUGAGACACGGUCCAGACUCCUACGGGAGGCAGCAGUGGGGAAUAUUGCACAAUGGGCGCAAGCCUGAUGCAGCCAUGCCGCGUGUAUGAAGAAGGCCUUCGGGUUGUAAAGUACUUUCAGCGGGGAGGAAGGUGUUGUGGUUAAUAACCGCAGCAAUUGACGUUACCCGCAG
rnacentral:rRNA from 1 species